GGUAACAGAACUUUUUACACUUGUCAAAUUUAAACAAUAUUGGCAAAAUUUUAAUCAAAAAAUAAAAAAUAAAAAAGACACGUGUCAAAACCACAUUUGUUGUAAGUAGGAGCUUCUCUUCAAUUUUAAGGAACGAAGCAUUUUUCUUUUAUUAUUUCGAGAAAUGAAAGAUGGUCGACAAGAAUUUGAUGACUUGGAUGGUUAUUGAGCUCAAUAUGAGUUAUGUCCCCGGGUUACUAUGAGAUUCUUACUAUACAAGAAAAAAAAUAAACAAUUAGUAAUUACAAACACCCAUAAUUAGGGCUGGCAAGAUUUGCUUUCAACCCCCUGUCGAACAAUCAAACAACUUCAAAUGAAGGCUCCCUAAAAGUUCUAUUUAUAGUAAUAUUUGGGGUUACAUGAUUAGGAAUAAGAAUUAAAUCAGGAAUCAAAUCACAACUAUAGGAAAUUUAAACAAGCAAACCUGCCGAGCAUUCUAACCGGUCACCAGGAUUGGGAGACCGAUCGACCUCGAACUCACACUCCCGUACAUUCUGACCCGAGCCGGUUUGGAUGCCUUCUUUGGUGAAUCAUUAUCCAC
rnacentral:lncRNA from 1 species